ensembl:snRNA U4 U4 spliceosomal RNA
AGCUUUGCACAGAGGCAAUAUUGUAGCCAAUGAGGUUUAUGCAAGGCGUGAUCAUUGCUAAUUGAACUUUUCCCAAUACCCCGCCAUGACGCCUUGCAAAUAUAGUCAGCAUUGGCAAUUUUUGACGGUGUCUACGGAGA